rnacentral:rRNA from 1 species
GUCCACGCCUAACGAUGUCAACUGGUUGUUGGACGGCUUGCUGUUCAGUAACGAAGCUAACGCGUGAAGUUGACCGCCUGGGGAGUACGGCCGCAAGGUUGAACUCAAGGAAUUGACGGGACCCGCACAAGCGGUGGAUGAUGUGGUUUAAUUCGAUGCAACGCGAAACCUUACCUACCCUUGACAUGUCAAGAAUUUUGCAGAGAUGUGAAAGUGCUCGAAAGAGAGCUUGAACACAGGUGCUGCAUGGCCGUCGU